rnacentral:rRNA from 1 species
AUUGAACGCUGGCGGCAUGCCUUACACAUGCAAGUCGAACGGCAGCACGGGGGCAACCCUGGUGGCGAGUGGCGAACGGGUGAGUAACAUAUCGGAACGUGCCCUGGAGUGGGGGAUAACUAGUCGAAAGAUUAGCUAAUACCGCACACGAUCUACGGAUGAAAGUGGGGGAUCGCAAGACCUCAUGCUCGUGGAGCGGCCGAUAUCUGAUUAGCUAGUUGGUGGGGUAAAGGCCUACCAAGGCAUCGAUCAGUAGCUGGUCUGAGAGGACGACCAGCCACACUGGGACUGAGACACGGCCCAGACUCCUACGGGAGGCAGAGCAGUGGGGAAUUUUGGACAAUGGGCGCAAGCCUGAUCCAGCAAUGCCGCGUGAGUGAAGAAGGCCUUCGGGUUGUAAAGCUCUUUUGUCAGGGAAGAAACGGUGAGGGCUAAUAUCCUUUGCUAAUGACGGUACCUGAAGAAUAAGCACCGGCUAACUACGUGCCAGCAGCCGCGGUAAUACGCAGGUGCAAAGCGUUAAUCGGAAUUACUGGGCGUAAAGCGUGCGCAGGCGGUUGUGCAAGACCGAUGUGAAAUCCCCGGGCUUAACCUGGGAAUGGCAUUGGUGACUGCGCGGCUAGAGUGUGUCAGAGGGGGGUAGAAUUCCACGUGUAGCAGUGAAAUGCGUAGAGAUGUGGAGGAAUACCGAUGGCGAAGGCAGCCCCCUGGGAUAACACUGACGCUCAUGCACGAAAGCGUGGGGAGCAAACAGGAUUAGAUACCCUGGUAGUCCACGCCCUAAACGAUGUCAACUAGUUGUCGGGUCUUAAUUGACUUGGUAACGCAGCUAACGCGUGAAGUUGACCGCCUGGGGAGUACGGUCGCAAGAUUAAAACUCAAAGGAAUUGACGGGGACCCGCACAAGCGGUGGAUGACGUGGAUUAAUUCGAUGCAACGCGAAAAACCUUACCUACCCUUGACAUGGCAGGAAUCCCGGAGAGAUUCGGGAGUGCUCGAAAGAGAACCUGCACACAGGUGCUGCAUGGCUGUCGUCAGCUCGUGUCGUGAGAUGUUGGGUUAAGUCCCGCAACGAGCGCAACCCUUGUCAUUAGUUGCUACGAAAGGGCACUCUAAUGAGACUGCCGGUGACAAACCGGAGGAAGGUGGGGAUGACGUCAAGUCCUCAUGGCCCUUAUGGGUAGGGCUUCACACGUCAUACAAUGGUACAUACAGAGGGCCGCCAACCCGCGAGGGGGAGCUAAUCCCAGAAAGUGUAUCGUAGUCCGGAUUGCAGUCUGCAACUCGACUGCAUGAAGUUGGAAUCGCUAGUAAUCGCGGAUCAGCAUGUCGCGGUGAAUACGUUCCCGGGUCU